rnacentral:rRNA from 1 species
AUCAUUACUGAGUACUCGGCUCCCGUCAGGGACCGGUUACCCGACCUUUUGUCAUUUGCUCCGAACGUCGUUCGACGUCGGUACCCUUUACUUCGGCGGAAGUGGUAGGCGUCCUUCGGGGCGACCUGCCCGCCGCCGGCCGUAUUCCAAACUCUUGCGAAGAAAUUUGAAGUCUGAAAAACACUGCGAGAGCAGUAAAAACGAAAAGCAAAACUUUCAACAACGGAUCUCUUGGCUCUGGCAACGAUGAAGAACGCAGCGAAACGCGAAAGGUAAUGCGAAUUGCAGAAUCAGUGAGUCAUCGAAUCUUUGAACGCACAUUGCGCCUCUCGGUAUUCCGGGAGGCACGCCUGUUCGAGCGCCAUUACACCCCCCAAGCUCUGCUUGAUGUUGGGCGACGUCCGUUAAGGACCCGCCUGGAACGCAUGGGCGCCGACGCCAGACCACGAGCGUAGCAAGACUAACGUCAUUCGCUCUGUCGGUUUCUGGUGGACGGCUGGCCUUUUGUCCUUCUCACGAGGGAGAAUCUAUACUGAGUUUGGCC